UACGUAGGUGGCAAGCGUUACUCGGAAUCACUAGGCGUAAAGCGCGGGUAGGCGGCUUGACAAGUCUGUCGUGAAAGCUCCUGGCUUAACCGGGAGAGGUCGGCGGAUACUAUCAGGCUUGAGUGUGGGAGGGGGUGCUGGAAUUCCCGGUGUAGCGGUGAAAUGCGUAGAGAUCGGGAGGAACACCAAUGGCGAAGGCAGGCACCUGGACCAAUACUGACGCUGAGCCGCGAAAGCUAGGGUAGCAAACAGG
rnacentral:misc_RNA from 1 species